rnacentral:rRNA from 1 species
UGAGUAACACGUAUGCAACCUGCCUGCCACGGCCGGAUAAUCGGGAGAAAUUCCGUCUAAUACGGCAUAAUGCAUCGACGGGACAUCCUGUUGGUGCCAAAGGUUGAUUCCGGUGGCGGAUGGGCAUGCGUCGCAUUAGUUAGUUGGCGGUGUAACGGACCACCAAGACGACGAUGCGUAGGGGUUCUGAGAGGAAGGUCCCCCACACUGGUACUGAGCACGGACCAGACUCCUACGGGAGGCAGCAG